rnacentral:rRNA from 1 species
GACGAACCGUGCGAACGUUAUUCGGAAUCACUGGGCUUAAAGGGCGCGUAGGCGGGCUGUCAAGUCUGGGGUGAAAACUCGAGGCUCAACCUCGAGACGUCGGCGGAAACCCUCCAGCUAGAGUCCGGAAGAGGAGAGUGGAAUUCCUGGUGUAGCGGUGAAAUGCGCAGAUAUCAGGAAGAACACCCGUGGCUAAGGCGGUUCUCUGGGAAUGUCCUGACGCUGAGGAGCGAAAGUGUGGGGAGCGAACAGG